GUCUCGGUGGCGCAAUUGGUUAGCGCGUCUGACUGUUAAUCAGGAGGUUGUGAGUUCAAUCCUCACCUGGGACG
rnacentral:tRNA from 2 species